UACGACUACAUAUCAGGCAUAUCAAUAAGCGGAGGAAAAGAAACUAACAAGGAUUCCCUUAGUAACGGCGAGUGAAGCGGGAAGAGCUCAAAUUUGAAAUCUUCAAGGUUCUACCUUGACGAAUUGUAGUUUAAAGAAGUGUUUUCUGUUAGAUGAGUAGCAAAAGUUCCUUGGAAUGGGACAUCAUAGAGGGUGAGAAUCCCGUAUUUGGUUAUUCAUUCUAGCUUUGUGAUACACUUUCAAAGAGUCGGAUUGUUUGGGAAUGCAGUCCAAAAUGGGUGGUAAAUUUCAUCUAAAGCUAAAUAUUGGCGAGAGACCGAUAGCGAACAAGUACCGUGAGGGAAAGAUGAAAAGAACUUUGAAAAGAGAGUUAAACAGUACGUGAAAUUGUCAAAAGGGAAGCGUUUGACACCAGUGUUGUUUUUCCGAAAAUCAAUUACGAAUGGCUUGAUUUUGUGUUGUAUUGACCUUAUCAGCUUUCUCCACUUUUUUCGAGUCUUUCUUAAUGCACUUUUCGGUUAACAAGUCAACAUCAAUUUCUUUUGUUGUAAAAGAGUAUUCGGAAGGUGGCUUUCUUUUCGGAGAAAGUGUUUAUAGCCCUAUACUUCUACAAUCGGAGAGAUUGAGGUCUGCAGCGUAGAUCCUUCGGGGUUAGAUACACUUUGUGCUAAGUUGUAGCUUUUCAUAGACAACUUGUUGACUAUGUUUAGUCAUGCGGCUUACUCGCUUAGUGCUAUUUUACCUACGCUUAGGAUGUUGAGUAGCGACAUACGCAC
rnacentral:rRNA from 1 species